rnacentral:rRNA from 1 species
AACGAACGCUGGCGGCAUGCCUAACACAUGCAAGUCGAACGAGACGUUCGGGUCUAUUGGCGCAGGGGUGCUGGCCGAGUGGGAAGCUGCCCUUAGGUUAGGAAUACCUGCCCGAAGGGGGUGCUAAUACCGGUUAAUCUCUUCGGACCAAAGAUUUAUCGCUUUGGGAUGGGCGCGCGUUGGAUUCGCGAGUUGGUAGGGUACAAGCCUACCAAGGCGACGAUGCUUAGCUGGUCGGAGAGGAUGAUCAGCCACACUGGGCCUGAGACACGGCCCAGACUCCUACGGGAGGCAGCAGUGGGGAAUAUUGGACGAGGGGCGAAAGCCUGAUCCAGCAAUGCCGGGUGAGUGAGGAAGGCCUUAGGGUUGUAAAGCUCUUUUACCCGGGAUGAUAAUGACAGUACCGGGAGAAUAAGCGCCGGCUAACUACGUG